AAAAAAUUAGUUAAUUUAUAACGUUAGUUUGUCAUACUAAAAUUAUUAAACCCUUAAUAUUUUUUA
rnacentral:tRNA from 1 species